rnacentral:rRNA from 1 species
UACGUAGGGACCAAGCGUUGUCCGGAAUCAUUGGGCGUAAAGAGCGUGUAGGCGGCUUGUUAAGUCUUGCGUGAAAUCUCGGGGCUCAACCCCGAGCGGUCGUGAGAAACUGGCAGGCUAGAGUGCGGGAGAGGAGAGUGGAAUUCCUGGUGUAGCGGUGAAAUGCGCAGAUAUCAGGAGGAACACCGAUGGCGAAGGCAGGUCUCUGGGCCAUAACUGACGCUGAGAAGCGAAAGCAUGGGGAGCGAACAGG